GCUGCAGCAACAAGGCCAGAUUUGUUGCAUCAUGGACUCUUCAAUAGUUAAACACCAUGCAUUUCCUUUGGCUUGGUGAGUUUCUUUGGUUAGAACCAUGAGUGACAAGGUUGUGCUGUUAGAGCUCUUUUGAGAUUGAUUGGAACAGACCANNGACUAAACAUUCAAUUUGAUGUGGCCUAGUUUAGCCUUAGGUCUGUCACCUGUUGCAUUGUUGUUUGCAAGUUGUCUUGGUCUGAACUGUUAUAUCCUGGCCCUUGGAUUUGCAGCAGGUAGGCCAAUAUGCAUUAAUACUUCUGGCUUUGCUUCUACAGGGAUGAUUCUUCUGUUGUAAAUUUCAUGAGCCCUCUCCAUCAUCAUGAACUCCAGGCCUACUACAAAUGUAAGUAUGUCCAAUGUCCUUUGAUUAAUGGUGCUUCUGCAUGAUGACUGCAGCUGGUAGCAGAUUCGUCCUUUGCAACCUCAUUGCUUGGAUAUGGUAUCAUCUAGUAAUAUGUGCAUUUACAACAUAUCUCUACUGCAGGUCUUGGCUCAAACAAGGCUUGGUAAUGGUGUCCACCGAGGGUCCAAAACAAACUCCUCAUGCCUUUAUUCAAUAGCAACAAAGCAAUGCAAACGGUAUGGCCAAGUGUUGGAUGGUUAGCUGCAGCAACAAGGCCAGAUUUGUUGCAUCAUGGACUCUUCAAUAGUUAAACCAUGCAUUUCCUUUGGCUUGGUGAGUUUCUUUGGUUAGAACCAUGAGUGACAAGGUUGUGCUGUUAGAGCUCUUUUGAGAUUGAUUUGGAACAGACCACAUUCAAAGGUUAUUGAUGCCAAAAUGUCAAGAUAACAUGGCAGGUGCACAAUGGGACUUGCUUGCAAUGGAAAAAACCAAGAAAAAUCAACAACAAACAUGAAGAUUGGGUGAUGUAUUGAAGAAAAAGGCCAGGCCAAGUUGGAUGGGCAAGAGCAAGUGAAAAUUGACUUUGGUCAAAGUUGAACAAAAGUCAACUGUUGACCAAAGUCAACAAAUGGUCAAAAUGUAUUUUCUUUUU
rnacentral:lncRNA from 1 species